UACGGAGGGGGCUAGCGUUGUUCGGAAUUACUGGGCGUAAAGCGCGCGUAGGCGGCUUUGCAAGUUAGAGGUGAAAGCCCGAAGCUCAACUUCGGAAUUGCCUUUAAAACUGCGAGGCUAGAAUUGUGGAGAGGUAAGUGGAAUUCCGAGUGUAGAGGUGAAAUUCGUAGAUAUUCGGAAGAACACCAGUGGCGAAGGCGACUUACUGGACACAUAUUGACGCUGAGGUGCGAAAGCGUGGGGAGCAAACAGG
rnacentral:rRNA from 1 species